AACGAACGCUAUCGGUAUGCUUAACACAUGCAAGUCGGACGGACUAAUUAGGGCUUGCUCCAAUUAGUUAGUGGCAGACGGGUGAGUAACACGUGGGAAUCUGCCCAUCAGUACGGAAUAACUUUUAGAAAUAAAAGCUAAUACCGUAUAUUCUCUACAGAGGAAAGAUUUAUCGCUGAUGGAUGAGCCCGCGUCAGAUUAGGUAGUUGGUGAGGUAACGGCUCACCAAGCCGACGAUCUGUAGCUGGUCUGAGAGGAUGAUCAGCCACACUGGGACUGAGACACGGCCCAGACUCCUACGGGAGGCAGCAGUGGGGAAUAUUGGACAAUGGGCGAAAGCCUGAUCCAGCAAUACCGAGUGAGUGAUAAAGGCCCUAGGGUUGUAAAGCUCUUUUAGCAAGGAAGAUAAUGACGUUACUUGCAGAAAAAGCCCCGGCUAACUCC
rnacentral:rRNA from 1 species